GCUUCACAGACUGUACUCUCCUGCACAUUGAGGACCUGGACUUCCUCGAGUGGCUCCUGUCUGUGUGGAAUCUGCUGCAGUCUGAACAUCUGUCUCCAAACAACAUCUUCACUUCUGACGUGGUCACACUCGUCUCAUCUGCUUGGAGUUGGACCACAGCACACUGAGGACCUGGAGUCUGUGUGGAAUCUGCUGCAGUCUGAACAUCUCCAAACAAGCUUCUUCACAUCUGACGAACAAUGAAGAGAUCCAGAGCCAUCCUCGUCUGGCUCCUCACUCUGGCAGCACUGAGCUGUGUCUCUGCUAAGACUUUUCUAAAGCUCAACUCCACACAGGAUCUGAAAAGAAUUUAUGCAGAAAAAGAAAAUCCUGUUUCUGCGCACAGCCUCCCUCUGCUCCACCUGCUCGCCAACCACGUUUCUAUCGACAAUAACACCCAUGUCUAUCCAGAUUUUGACCCAACUACAGAUUAUGGGUCCGACCCCUAUGAAAACCCUGAAAAUUUGCUGGACAGAGACUGCAAAUAUUACACUUUAGGCAAUGUUAAUAAGAAAUUCAAUGACUCCAAGACCAUUCCUCCAUAUGUGCGUCAUCCCAAAGGUCUGAACAUGCCCAAUAUGAACAGGGCUCGCAUUCUCCUUUGCCUAAGCUACAAUGGAAAAAGGUGGCGCAUCCACCAAGUGUAUCUCACCCAACAUUAUGAAUCCAGGUCUCAGGGCACUGCACAUGACCCAGCUCGCACCUUUGAAAUAAGCCCCGAGCUGCUCCGAGAACUCCAAGAGUUUUCAUUCAA